AAGUCGUAACAAGGUUUCCGUAGGUGAACCUGCGGAAGGAUCAUUAUCACGUAUCCACGUAUAAACCAUUGUGAACCGUUUUUAACCUCCGCGAAACUGGCUGCUCACGAAUGUAAAAAGCUUGUGAACAGCUGGCUAGCAGAGCGUAUUCAACCUAUUAACCAUUUUAACCAAUCUUUAUAACUUUAUGAACUAACUUUAUUUUAUACUCUUCGGAGAUAAAAUUCAUUACGAAACAAAGAACAACUCUUAGCAACGGAUAUCUUGGUUCUC
rnacentral:misc_RNA from 1 species